UGACGACCGGCGCACGGGUGCGCAACGCGUAUACAAUCUGCCCCCUACUGUGGGAUAGCCCAGAGAAAUUUGGAUUAAUACCACAUGGUACCAUAUUACGGCAUCGUAUUUAUGGUUAAAGGUUACGGUAGGGGAUGAGUAUGCCCGGUUCCCCAUUAGUUAGUUGGUGAGGUAACGGCUCACCAAGACCGCGAUGGGUAGGGGCCCUGAGAGGGGGAUCCCCCACACUGGUACUGAGACACGGACCAGACUCCUACGGGAGGCAGCAGUGAGGAAUAUUGGACAAUGGGCGGGAGCCUGAUCCAGCCAUGCCGCGUGCAGGAAGAAUGCCCUAUGGGUAGUAAACUGCUUUUAUACGGGAAGAAAAAGGGCUACGUGUAGCCUACUGACGGUACCGUAAGAAUAAGGACC
rnacentral:rRNA from 1 species